rnacentral:tRNA from 1 species
GGGCCCGUGGCGCAGUUUGGGAGCGCGUCUGACUGGCAGUCAGAAGGUCAGGGGUUCGAAUCCCCUCGGGUCCACCA